rnacentral:rRNA from 1 species
GACGAACGCUGGCGGCGUGCUUAACACAUGCAAGUCGAACGGAAAGGCCCUGCUUUUGUGGGGUGCUCGAGUGGCGAACGGGUGAGUAACACGUGAGUAACCUGCCCUUGACUUUGGGAUAACUUCAGGAAACUGGGGCUAAUACCGGAUAGGAGCUCCUGCUGCAUGGUGGGGGUUGGAAAGUUUCGGCGGUUGGGGAUGGACUCGCGGCUUAUCAACUUGUUGGUGGGGUAGUGGCUUACCAAGGCUUUGACGGGUAGCCGGCCUGAGAGGGUGACCGGCCACAUUGGGACUGAGAUACGGCCCAGACCCGUACGGGAGGCAGCAGUGGGGAAUAGUGCACAAGGGGCGGAGGCCUGAUGCAGCAACGCCGCGUGCGGGAUGACGGCCAUGGGGUUGUAAACCGCUUUCGCCUGUGACGAAGCGUGAGUGACGGUAAUGGGUAAAGAAGCACCGGCUAACUACGUG